CCUACGGGAGGCAGCAGUGGGGAAUAUUGGGCAAUGGGCGCAAGCCUGACCCAGCAACGCCGCGUGAAGGAAGAAGGCUUUCUGGUUGUAAACUUCUUUUUACAGGGAAGCGCAUAACACGGUACCUGUCGAAUAAGCCACUGCUAACUACGUGCCAGCAGCCGCGGUCAUACGUAGGUGGCAAGCGUUUUCCGGAUUUACUGGGUGUAUAGGGCGUGUAGCCGGGCUGACAAGUCAGAUGUGAAAUCCGGGGGCUCAACCCCCGAACUGCAUUUGAAACUGUUGGUCUUGAGUAUCGGAGAGGCAGGCGGAAUGCGUAGUGUAGCGGUGAAAUGCGUAGAUAUUAGGAGGAACACCAGUGGCGAAGGCGGCAUGCUGGACGACAACUGACGGUGAGGCGCGAAAGCGUGGGGAGCAAACAGGAUUAGAUACCCCUGUAGUC
rnacentral:rRNA from 1 species